rnacentral:rRNA from 1 species
AUUAAACGCUGGCGGCAUGCCUUACACAUGCAAGUCGAACGGCAGCACGGGGGCAACCCUGGUGGCGAGUGGCGGACGGGUGAGUAAAGCAUCGGAACGUAUCCUGGAGUGGGGGAUAACGUAGCGAAAGUUACGCUAAUACCGCAUAUUCUGUGAGCAGGAAAGCAGGGGAUCGCAAGACCUUGCGCUCUGGGAGCGGCCGAUGUCGGAUUAGCUAGUUGGUGGGGUAAAGGCCUACCAAGGCGACGAUCCGUAGCGGGUCUGAGAGGAUGAUCCGCCACACUGGGACUGAGACACGGCCCAGACUCCUACGGGAGGCAGCAGUGGGGAAUUUUGGACAAUGGGCGCAAGCCUGAUCCAGCCAUGCCGCGUGAGUGAAGAAGGCCUCGGUUGUAAGAC